rnacentral:rRNA from 1 species
CAGUAGCCGCGGUAAUACGUAGGUCCCGAGCGUUGUCCGGAUUUAUUGGGCGUAAAGCGAGCGCAGGCGGUUUGAUAAGUCUGAAGUUAAAGGCUGUGGCUCAACCAUAGUUCGCUUUGGAAACUGUCAAACUUGAGUGCAGAAGGGGAGAGUGGAAUUCCAUGUGUAGCGGUGAAAUGCGUAGAUAUAUGGAGGAACACCGAUGGCGAAAGCGGCUCUCUGGUCUGUAACUGACGCUGAGGCUCGAAAGCGUGGGGAGCGAACAGGAUUAGAGACCCCUGUAGUCCUGUCUCUUAUACAC